UAGGUGGUAAUAUUCGAGUCAAAUCCGAUCCGAAUAACUUUCACCCCACGACCUUCUUCUAUAUCUACGUGCUUUUCCAGUUAUGCCCUUGCAAAUGGCAGCUGUUUAGGAAGAGUGCCACUACUGCUUUCAUUCUCCUUUCUCCAUGCUUUUCUUUUUCUCCAUUGCUUUCUUCAGUUAAUUUUGUCAACAAUAGCCGUUGAUUCCUCGCGGCAAACCCAUUGUGAGCAAGAGCACCAUGUUUGUGUUUUAUUCAUGAGGAAAAUGGGUCGGAUUAUCGGGUUUGGGAGUGGUAUCGGACCUGAAGAGUGACGCAUGCAUAUGUCAGUAUAAUGAAUCUAUUUGGUUUGCUUCAAGAAUGACGGUAGCUAUAACUUCGUGUUGACAUGGGAAGUUGUGGCAAUUGGAGGAUCAAACGGUGAACUUCUACGACAGACGAUGGCAUCCACAAUGCUUAUUGAAAAGCUCUCAAUGAAUCUCUGCAUGAUUUCAAGUACCAAUCUGGGGCAGUUUUCCAUGAGCUAAAGGAGUUUUACCCCCUGAGCUUUGGAGCCUGAAGGAUGACAGAGUAAGCUAUGGCAGAAGCUGUGGAGUACUUUGUACACCUUUGAGGAUUACACAAUAAGGAACAUAGAUAGCGUCUAUUCAUUGAAGCGUCCAUGCCUUAUCAAUUUCUCUGAGCUGAUUCAAACGCGCAUUACAAUUUCAGGUUAAUCGGGUGAACUUAAGCUCUUGACAACAAUGCAAUUUGCAACUGAGUUGCUCAUUUUUGUAUUUUUCCCACGCUAGAUCGUCAACAUCUCUAUGAAGAAUCAAGUUCUCAAGUGGAUCCUUUAAUUCAUUUAAUCCAUUUCGCUCAAUUAGAGCUCUGUGUUCAAAUUUUUACUAGUAUAUCAAAUCUAUUAUUAUUUGGACAUUUAUAUAUGUACUAUUCCUUUCAAUAACUCACAGGAUUUCGUUUAAGAAAAUCGCUAUGUUGUAUCUUCUCCCACAAUUACAUGAUCCAAACAACCACUGUCAGAACUUAUAAAAAUUAUUUUCUUUUAUAUAAGACUAAGUCAGGUGAAAUAAAUUAUAUAAACCCUAAGUUUUUGUUCGGUUCAAUUUAUUU